AUUGAACGCUGGCGGGAUGCUUUACACAUGCAAGUCGAACGGAGUGGCGGACGGGUGAGUAAUAUAUCGGAACGUGCCUAGUAGAGGGGGAUAACUACUGGAAACGGUGGCUAAUACCGCAUACCAUUAGAGCGGCCGAUAUUGGAUUAGCUAGUGGGUGGGGUAAAGGCUCACCAAGGCAACGAUCCGUAGCCGGUUUGAGAGGACGACCAGCCACACUGGGACUGAGACACGGCCCAGACUCCUACGGGAGGCAGCAGUGGGGAAUUUUGGACAAUGGGCGAAACCCUGAUCCAGCCAUCCCGCGUGUAUGAUGAAGGCCUUCGGGUUGUAAAGUACUUUUGGCAGAGAAGCGGUAUCUGCAGAAUAAGCACCGGCUAACUACGUGCCAGCAGCCGCGGUAAUUC
rnacentral:rRNA from 1 species